rfam:Myotis davidii contig78035, whole genome shotgun sequence.
GGAGGUUCUCAGGUGACGCACCCCGGAAUUAGGUUCCCUCCUCUUUGGUUCCAGGUGUGAUACCCGAGAACCGCA